UACGUAGGGGGCUAGCGUUGUCCGGAUUUAUUGGGCGUAAAGAGCGUGUAGGCGGCCGGGUAAGUCCGGUGUGAAAACUCGAGGCUUAACCUCGAGAUGUCAUCGGAAACUAUUCGGCUAGAGUCCGGAAAGAGGAGAGUGGAAUUCCUGGUGUAGCGGUGAAAUGCGCAGAUAUCAGGAAGAACACCUAUGGCGAAAGCAGCUCUCUGGGACGGUACUGACGCUAGACGCGAAAAGCGUGGGGAGCGAACAGG
rnacentral:rRNA from 1 species